GACGAACGCUGGCGGCGUGCCUAAUACAUGCAAGUUGAGCGCUGAAGGUUGGUACUUGUACCAACUGGAUGAGCAGCGAACGGGUGAGUAACGCGUGGGGAAUCUGCCUUUGAGCGGGGGACAACAUUUGGAAACGAAUGCUAAUACCGCAUAAAAACUUUAAACACAAGUUUUAAGUUUGAAAGAUGCAAUUGCAUCACUCAAAGAUGAUCCCGCGUUGUAUUAGCUAGUUGGUGAGGUAAAGGCUCACCAAGGCGAUGAUACAUAGCCGACCUGAGAGGGUGAUCGGCCACAUUGGGACUGAGACACGGCCCAAACUCCUACGGGAGGUAGCAGUAGGGAAUCUUCGGCAAUGGACGAAAGUCUGACCGAGCAACGCCGCGUGAGUGAAGAAGGUUUUCGGAUCGUAAAACUCUGUUGGUAGAGAAGAACGUUGGUGAGAGUGGAAAGCUCAUCAAGUGACGGUAACUACCCAGAAAGGGACGGCUAACUACGUG
rnacentral:rRNA from 1 species